GUAAAAAACUGCAAUAACUGCCAAGAGUUUGGCCUAUUUUUCGAACCGUCGUUUGUGCAAUGAAACCCAGCCGACUGCACCUAAAACAAGUCACCGAUACCCAGACACCUGCAUAUGAAAAACUUAAGUGCGGUUGAAAAAGUAUUUAAAAAAAAAUAAAAGACUUAGGCAACGAACUUGUUUGGCUCUGCACAAGUGUUAAUCAGCACAGCGAGCUGCAGCUAGUUGGGAGAUGGAUGGACUUGGAUGGCUAGGAAGCGGCGCGCGCAAGUGGCACAGCGGGUACAAGCUGGAGCCAAGGAGAAGUGCACUGAGAGAAAAAUCGACAAGUAAUCAGAUAGCAGCAGAAAAUUGAAAGAAAUAUAUUAAGUCGGGUAAGUGAAAAAAAUAAGCAGCAACGACUGCAGCAGCGGAAAACCGUUAAGAAAUCUCGUUUGUGUGGGGCCCAAGUCUGGAGUUGGGAAUUCUUCAUAUGGAGUAUAUAUAUAUAUUCUAUAUAUAUAUGCUGUCAUGGCAUUCUACGAACGAGAGAAAAUGGUGUUGUAGGCGGCAAUGCCAAGUGAAAGGCUUAUGGCCCUAACUCAGCCACCCUGCGGCUGACUCCCCCUUCAUAUUGAUUGAUUAGCCCGGCCAUAACUUCCGUCAUGUACACAUUUUCUGCACACUCUUCAGCUCACCGAAUUGUAUUUCUUUUCAGUCGGUUCUUUUUGUUGGUUGCGUUGGGUGCUAACUCGCUUAGCAGGUUGCUUAUUGGCUUUAGUGGAUUUUGUCAUUAGCCCAAGAAUUUUUAUAGCACAAAUAUGGCUAAGCCUACACUGAGGAAUAAAUACCAAUGUUGAUAAA